AAUCUAUCCACCGUGUAUGUCUAGGUACCGAAGUUAAAUUAACCUCAGAACAAAUCAAAUAAAGAAGAGUACCUUUCUUUACACACCAUGCGUGGUAAUUGGUGCAAUUCUUCUUCUUAUGACCUGCAGCUCCACAGAAGAAACAACCGCCUUCAGUUGGUUCCUUAUGCUGUUUCUUUUGCGGUGCCAUACCUGCAGCUUCC
rnacentral:lncRNA from 1 species